rnacentral:rRNA from 1 species
GACAGAGGGUGCAAACGUUUGUUCGGAAUUACUGGGCGUAAAGCGCGUGUAGGCGGCUCGGAAAGUCGGGUGUGAAAGCCCUGGGCUCAACCCAGGAAGUGCACUCGAAACUCCCGAGCUCGAGUCCCGGAGAGGAAAGUGGAAUUCUCGGUGUAGAGGUGAAAUUCGUAGAUAUCGAGAGGAACAUCAGUGGCGAAAGCGGCUUCCUGGACCAGCACCGACGUUCAGGCACGAAAGCGUGGGGAGCAAACAGGG